UAUAAAAAAAGAGAACAAUGUGUCAUUGUAGAAGGUGUGUGAGCAUACAAAGAUGACCCUAAUGAACUAUUAGUAUUGUAACAAGUAUAGGUCAUAUUAGUGUCAGGUUACCCAA
ensembl:ncRNA F10C1.17 ncRNA